AGGAUGUAGACAGUUGGCUUGGGCUCCAGCACCCCACAGGAUAAGCUGAAGAACGGCAAUGGUUUCUGGUCUAUCUACUCGGCUCCGCCCACCAGCUAAUCCUGAGGCAGCUUCCCAAGGACCAGGCUUGAUGGAGGCAGGAGGCAGGAAGCAGCUGCUGGAACAAUUCUAGAUGGGCGUUCGGGCGACUCGGUUUCACUGCACACGGCCGAUCUCUGUGGCUCCUUGUUUGAGCGCUUUUUAUAUAAGAAAAGACAAACAUGCUGGAGAACCGGCACCCCACCCACACCACUGGGGCCUCUGAUACCAUGGCAACCACAACCUCCAGGUCAAACCCAGGCGCGGCCGCACUCCUCUCGAUGACCUGAGCUCCCUCCUGGCUCCAGUGACAGCCUCUCUGAACGGU
rnacentral:lncRNA from 1 species